AUACGGAGGGUGCAAGCGUUGUUCGGAAUUACUGGGCGUAAAGGGCGCGCAGGCGGUUUGGUAAGUCAGAUGUGAAAGUCCACGGCUCAACCGUGGAAGUGCAUUUGAAACUGUCAGACUUGAGUACUAGAGGGGAAAGUGGAAUUCCCGGUGUAGAGGUGAAAUUCGUAGAUAUCGGGAGGAAUACCGGUGGCGAAGGCGACUUUCUGGCUAGAUACUGACGCUGAGGCGCGAAAGCGUGGGGAGCAAACAGGAUUAGAAACCCCGGUAGUCC
rnacentral:rRNA from 1 species